rnacentral:misc_RNA from 1 species
AAGUCGUAACAAGGUUUCCGUAGGUGAACCUGCGGAAGGAUCAUUAAAUAAUUUGAGUAUGCUUAUGCAUAUUUCUAAUUUACUGUGAACUGUUUUACUGUUUAGCGUUUUGAGGGAUUGCCUAAAGAUUAUAGGGAUAGGUCUUUAGGAUGUUAACCUAGCUAAAGUCAGGCUUAGGCCUGGUAUCCUAAUUCAUUAUUUACCAAAAGAAUUCAGAAUUAAUAUUGUAACAUAAGCGUAAAAAACUUAUAAAACAACUUUUAACAACGGAUCUCUUGGUUCUC